AUGAUAGGUGACCUCAAUGAGAUUUAGUUUAUCCAUGAAAAAGAUGGGGGCAAUCCUCGCCCUACUCAAUAUAUGCAAGCUUUUCAGGAUGCUAUUGGGGACUGUGAACUUCAUGAUCUAGGAUUUCUUGGUGAUAGGUUUACUUGGCGAAGAGGAAGGAUACAUGAGAGAUUAGGUAGAGGCCUUAUAAAUGAUACAUGGGCAAAUCUAUUCCCUCACGAGGCCUUGGAGAACUUGGAAUAUAAUCAUUCUGAUCACCGGCCGCUCCUGGUAAACACAGACUACUAUGAUGGUAUGGGAAAUAGUAGUGGUUGUGCGUGCCCAAAGAUAUUUGAAGCGAGAUGGUUUUGUGAAAAAGAAUUCUAUAAUCUGGUCACGGAAGCUUGGGAGGAAGCGGGUGAAACACCGGGACUGUUAGAUAUAGCUGCGAAGUUAAACUUGAUGCAUGCUAAAUUCCAUGAUUGGGAUCAGCGAGUAUUGAAGAAGCCAAAGAAAAGAUUAUGCCAAGCUCAAAAGGAGUUGGAGAAGGUGAUGGCAGGCCCGAUGGAUGAUGAGUCUGACACAAAAAAGAAGGAAUUGGCUGAGUUUUUUUGA
rnacentral:rRNA from 1 species